rnacentral:pre_miRNA from 1 species
AGAGGCUUAUAGCUCUAAGCCUUGGAUGAAAGAGGCUUAUGGCUUCAAGCUUUCGG